UGAGAGGGAGAUAAUCAGGAACAAUCUGGCUACACCAUAGGCUAAUCACAAUGACUGAUAUUUCUAGGGCUGCAUUAAUCAAGCCUUCAAGUAGACAGACUCUUACGGUCAGACCAAUUCUAGAAUGAUUCUGCCUCCACUGUGGGAAUCUUUUAUAAACGGAAAUUCUCCAUUCAGCCUUCCCUCUCUCUCUUAAGUGCAAAAUCCCUCCUAAUGGUAGCAUCUGUUGUCUGCGGCAAACAGAGUUGAUUACAGAUGCUCUGAAAGGAAUUUAAGUAUUUUCUCUUGCUACUCAGGAGGUGAUGGUGUGAUGGGAAACAGUAAUUCUUUUUAGAAAAUAAAAAACCUUUGGCUAAACAGUGACUACAAUAAUAAGAAUGGCUUGGUUUCCUGAAGCCUACUUUGCAAUUGUUGAAGUGAUUUGCCCACUCUAGAGAAGGUAUAUGAAGUGGAAAUGGAAUAUGAAGAGAUAUUCG
rnacentral:lncRNA from 1 species